AGCAGCCGCGGUAAUUCCAGCUCCAAUAGCGUAUAUUAAAGUUGUUGCAGUUAAAAAGCUCGUAGUUGAAUUUCGGGGUUAGUAGGUUGGUCAUGCCUCUGGUAUGUACUGGUCUCACUGAUUCCUCCUUCCUGAUGAGCCGUAAUGCCAUUAAUUUGGUGUUGCGGGGAAUUUGGACUGUUACUUUGAAAAAAUUAGAGUGUUUAAAGCAAGCUAACGCUUGAAUACAUUAGCAUGGAAUAAUGAAAUAGGACGUUCGAUCCUAUUUUGUUGGUUUCUAGGAUUGACGUAAUGAUUAAUAGGGAUAGUUGGGGGCAUUAGUAUUCAAUUGUCAGAGGUGAAAUUCUUGGAUUUAUUGAAGACUAACUACUGCGAAAGCAUUUGCCAAGGAUGUUUUCAUUAAUCAAGAACGAAAGUUAGGGGAUCGAAGACGAUCAGAUACCGUCGUAGUCUUAACCAUAAACUAUGCCGACUAGGGAUCGGAUGAUGUUAAUUUUUUAAUGACUCAUUCGGUACCUUAUG
rnacentral:rRNA from 1 species